rnacentral:lncRNA from 10 species
GUUGCAGAGACGCAAAUGAAGUCGCCGCGCCUGGCAUCUGCCUGCCCUCGGUGGGCUUCCAGGGGGCGGGAGACGGGGUCUUGCUAAGUUGAUCAAGCUGGUCUUAAACUCCUGACCUCAAGCUGUCCUCCUGCCUUGGCCUCCUAGAGUGUUGGGAUUACAGGCAUAAACCGCUGCGCCCAGACCUGGAAUCAUGUAUUCUAAACCUAACAAGGCGGGUUGUUGCACUGCCUGUGUCUCUGCCAGAGUGCUUAUAUGUUGUUGUUUUUACUGUUUUAAUGCUCCUCACUUACUGUGUGUUUGAUAAAAGAAUUAAUGAAAUGUGUGGCUGCAAAAAAUAGGAUGAGUCAUGACAAAGACUCUCUCCUUUAACCAAGCUAGAAUCAGGCUCCUCUGAGUUCUUCUGACUAAUCACCAACUUUGGGCUCUGUCCUUCAUCCAGUGACUCUGCCCACUUAAUCCAGUUUUAGCAAGAACCCUGCUGCAUCAGUUUAAUGAAAAUCCUUCACACUUGCUAUCUGACCAUUCUUUUUGUUUUUGUUUUUGAAAUGGAGUCUUGCUCUGUUACCCAGGCUGAAGUGCAGUGGCGCAAUCUCAGCUCACUUCAACCUCCGCCUCCCGGGUUCAAGUGAUUCUCCUGCUUCAGCCUCCUGAGUAGCUGGGGUUACAGGUGUGUGCCUCCAUGCCUGGCUAAUUUUUGUAUUUUUAGUAGAGACAGGGUUUCUCCAUGUUGUCCAGGCCGGCUCCAACUCCUGACCUAAAGUUAUCCGCCCCCCUGGGCCUCCCAAAGUGCUGGGACCACAAGUGUGCACCACCAUGCCUAGCCUAUCUGAUCCUUCUUGAUAUCUGAUCAAACUCCUUAUCCCCCACCCUCAAUAUCUUGUCACCCUUGCCUGCCUUACACAGUAAUCCUGCCAAGGUGGUUUAGCCGGAAUCCCAACUUAUCCCUGGUGUUUUCUCUUAGUAAUUUUCCCUCCACUGACACUCACCAUACUCCUUGGCUAUAAAUUUCCACUGGUCCUUGUAUUCAGGGUUGAGCCCUGUUUCUCUCCCUUACUACAAAACCCCAUUGUCAGAGCCCACCUUGAAUAAAG